UUUAAAAGUAAUCUUUUUGUUAAUAAAGAAUAUGUUCUACAUUUAUUCUAGGCAACUCUUAAAUAUUACAUCAUGCUACCCAAGAAGUCAUCUGGGUCUUCCCUUUCUGUGAAUAUAGCCAAUGCUUUCUGCAAAGGAUUGUUUAAUGCAAAGUUUGAUCUUGUUUCAGCCAGCUAAUAGCUUUUUUCUGAUUCAGAAAGCUGGCAAAGUGGAAAGACUAGAAAUCAAAACCAACCAUGGGUUUUUCCAUCUGGAAAAUAUGAAUUUGAACUUGCAGAAUAUAAACACCAUGUGAUUAGGUGUCUUUUGAAGCUUCCUCAUUCUAGGAUAAGGGAAAUGAGAUGGAAAAGAAGAUGCUUUGGAACAGAGUGGUAUAUUAAGGAAGCAUGUCUACUAUUUUAGCCAAAGAAAGGGAUCCAGAAUCUUCAUAAUGCAGCAGAUGUUCAAGUCCUCCCACUGACAACAUCCUCCCUCAGGUGCACCACUAAGAACUUUGUACACCUUCUGGCCUAGGACCUUCCUGAAGUCUUGCUAGCCAAAUAGACCUGUGUGCAACUGCAGCCGGCAAGUGCGGGUUUAAUGGUUCAGGGGCCAAACUAGGGGAUCUGGACCAGUGGACAAAUGUUCCUGCCUCCUGCCUUUGCCGCCAAGUCCUUGCCUCAAAUUCUGCUUUCUGGGCAAGCCGAGCAAAGACAACAUAUCACAUCUCACAGAAUAACCACAGAAAAUGUUUUUUUAUGGAAUAUUCAAACAUGUUGAUAAUUUAGUUCUGGUUUGUGAUUUUGAAAAGCUUUUCUGGGAGCUAUGAUCAAGUAUCGCUAGUAUAUUAUUAUUGACUAUGUUUAUAUAUGUAUAUAAAUUUAGAAAACUAUUUUUAAAUAUAUACCCAAAGUGCUUACUUAUAUAUAACUAUUAA
rnacentral:lncRNA from 1 species